rnacentral:tRNA from 1 species
UACUUGUAGCUCAGUGAUAGAGCACUUGCCUAGCAUAUGUGAAGUCCUGGGUUCAAUUCCCAGUAGUGGGUAG